UACAGAGGGUGCAAGCGUUGUUCGGAAUUAUUGGGCGUAAAGAGCUCGUAGGCGGUGUGUCGCGUCGGCCGUGAAAACUUGCAGCUUAACUGUGGGCGUGCGGUCGAUACGGGCAUCACUGGAGUUCGGCAGGGGAGACUGGAAUUCCUGGUGUAGCGGUGAAAUGCGCAGAUAUCAGGAGGAACACCGGUGGCGAAGGCGGGACUCUGGGCCGAUACUGACGCUGAGGAGCGAAAGCGUGGGGAGCGAACAGG
rnacentral:rRNA from 1 species